ACCCCCUCCUUGAUUCCCAUUUUUGAGAACGGAGCCUCACUCUAAAAAAACAAAGAACAUACACACACUUACACACAUUCGGUCAAUUAUUCAUCAACGAAAACAUACGCGUACCCAGGAGCAGCAAAGACUCUGGAACGCAAAUAUUUCAGAUCUGAAAAUUUUUCAAAGAGUGUUCCGAAUUUCCAAUGAGCUGAUUUCGCUGUUGUUUUCUCUGCUGUCCAGUAGCUGAAUUCCAACAUCACGUCUGGUUUUCAGCCUUUAUUUGGCUUUCGAUUUUUGUUUGCUAUUCAGAUACCGGUAUGGGUCCCAAUGGCGCGUAGUAACACUGCUCGUAUUCAAUUACUUUAAGAGACUUGAGGUAUAACUGCUCGGCGUCGGCAUCUCUGAAGUCCCCUUUCCAUUCUGUAUUUACUGUUUAUUUAGCUUCAAAUAAUUGUAUUUUGUUCAGACUUUAUCUGUAGUACUCUAGAUGCUCAUGUAUACGUGACUCCAAAUUCUGGGAUAUGUUUAGACUUCGUCAGCUAGUAUUUUAUUGUGUAUAUUUCAAUUGAUUACAAUUUGUUAA